rnacentral:rRNA from 1 species
GACGAACCGUGCGAGCGUUAUUCGGAAUCACUGGGCUUAAAGCGCGUGUAGGCGGCCCGGCACGUCCGUCGCUGAAAUCCCCCGGCUCAACCGGGGAAGUGGCGUGGAUACGACCGGGCUGGAGGGGGGUAGGGGGAGCCGGAACUUCCGGUGGAGCGGUGAAAUGCGUUGAGAUCGGAAGGAACGCCCGUGGCGAAAGCGGGCUCCUGGACCCCACCUGACGCUGAGACGCGAAAGCCAGGGGAGCGAACGGG